GAUUAACGCUGGCGGCGUGCAUAACACAUGCAAGUCGAACGAUGAAACUUAACUGAUUUCUUCGGAAUGAUUUUAAGUGGAUUAGUGGCGGACGGGUGAGUAACGCGUGAGUAACCUGCCUUGGAGAAGGGGAUAGCCUUUGGAAACGAAGAAUAAUACCCUAUGAUAUGAUAAUAUCUCAUGAUAUUAUCAUCAAAGAUUUAUCGCUCUAAGAUGGACUUGCGUCUGAUUAGUUAGUUGGUGAGGUAACAGCUCACCAAGGCAGCGAUCAGUAGCCGGCUUGAGAGAGUGUACGGCCACAUUGGGACUGAGACACGGCCCAGACUCCUACGGGAGGCAGCAGUGGGGAAUUUUGCACAAUGGGGGAAACCCUGAUGCAGCGACGCCGCGUGAUUUAGAAGGCCUUCGGGUUGUAAAAAUCUUUUGUAUGGGAAGAAAAUGACAGUACCAUACGAAUAAGGACCGGCUAAUUAC
rnacentral:rRNA from 1 species